CAAUCCGAUCCGAUUCCCUGAUCGCAGCGCCAAACAAGUACAGUAAACAACACGGAAAAACAGCUCACGGCCUCCCGACAAUCCCAAUAGUUUUCCGUUUCCGCCUGUCCCGUUCACCGCCCAGCACGAGGGGCGGGCCCGGCCGUCCGAUGGCCCGACGCGAGGGGAUCGGGCCGGGCGGGGGCCGUCCGAUUUAUUCCAUCUCCCGAACAUAUCGAUGGGAAGCAGAUUCGACUUUCACCAAACAAGUACAGUACUCUACCACUAGUCCCACUCGCGUCCUCGCUUCCCAGGCGUGGUGGGAGAGGAGAGGAGAGGACGACCCGGCCGACCCUCGCGCGCUCCGCCUUCCCCGCCUCGCCGUCGCCGUCGCCGAGGGAAUAGAAAAACAGAAUUAUGAGCUCAGGGAGUGGUGCAAAUAAUGGCCAUGCGAAAGAAGCAGCAUUAUAUGAGCAGCAGCUGUCCAAGAUUGGUGAAGUUAGAGCUGCUCUAGGACAACUAUCUGGAAAAUCUGCACUGUAUUGCUCAGAUGGUUCAAUUGCAAGGUACCUGAUAGCAAGAAACUGGGACGUGAGGAAGGCUACCAAAAUGCUUACAAAAACCUUGAAAUGGCGUUCUGAGUAUAAGCCAGAUGAGAUCCGUUGGGACGAGAUAUCGAGUGAAGCCAUGACUGGAAAAAUUUACCGAAGUGAUUAUUUUGACAAGAGUGGACGGAGUAUUCUUGUCAUGAGACCUGGAUGCCAGAAUACCAAGAAGUCCAAAGGGCAGAUCCGGUAUUUGGUAUACUGUAUGGAGAAUGCAAUUCUAAAUCUUCCAGCUGGACAGGAUCAGAUGGUUUGGCUGAUUGAUUUUGCUGGCUUCAGCUUGCCUAAUGUGUCACUUCUAGUGACAAAGUUGACAGCAGAUGUCCUACAAGGUCAUUAUCCUGAAAGAUUGGGUGUGGCAAUUCUUUAUAAUGCUCCCAAGUUUUUUGAGUCUUUUUGGAAGAUGGCAAGUCCCCUUCUUGAGCCAAAAACGAAAAAUAAGGUCAAAUUUGUGUACUCGGAUAGACCUGAAACUGACAAGAUAAUGGAAGACCUUUUCAACCUGGACGAGUUAGAAUGCGCAUUUGGCGGUAGAAGCCCGGUCACUUUUAACAUAAAUGAUUAUGCUGCAAGGAUGAGAGGAGAUGAUAAAAAGAUGCCAUUAUUCUGGAGCCCCGAGAACUCUUCUCUUGCUGCAGAGCCAUAUCGCAUGAAGAACCACGGGUCUCAACAAUGUGACUCGGGUUUGAAGACUGAAGAGACUCCAUCUGACAUGAUUGGGGAAACAGAAGCUGCAUCUGAAAAGAGUGGAGAAACAGACACUGCAUCGGAGAAGGAAGAUACCGAGGCUGCAUCUGAGGAGAGGGAAGAGACCGAGACUUCAUCUGAGAAGAGGGGAGAAACUGCGACUGAAUCUGUAAAGGAGGAAGAAACUGCGACUGUUUCUGAAAAGAAGGGAGAAACAGAGACUGGGUCUGAAAAGAAAGAAGAAACAGAGACCGAAUCAAGCACUGUAAAAUCGACAAGCUCGCGAGGGGAAGGUAUUGCAUCAGCAGGCAAAAGCGGCAGUUCAUCUGAUCCGUGAAGCUAUCAGCACGAGAAGUACAUUCCAAUCUUGAUAUGAGCUCCCACCACAGUGAAUUCCCACCAACAUAUGAACAUUAAAAGUGAUAACAACCCUUUUAACACACAAGGGGGGAGUGUUGCCUGACUUAUUUUGUAGUCGCCCCCCUUGUGACCUUGUUCGAAGAACCUUUUGGCAACAAAUGAACCAAUCAAACGGUAACAAUGAUAAAAUACUUUGCUACCCUCAGCUUUUGUAUUCCUAUUGCUCUUUGGAAUCUAUUGGAAUGCAUGCUAUAUCCUGCUCUCCUUUUUCGGUAAAUCUGAAUAUCACCUUUCCGCC
rnacentral:rRNA from 1 species